AUCAACAACUCUGAAAUUGUGGGUGAGAGAUUCACCAUCUUCAUCAUCAUUUUUUGUUCCCACCUUGUGUUCUUCAGUUCUACGCCCAUCACAAAAACGCUUUUCCGAUCCUUUCUCAUUGUCACCCUGCUCUCCGUGGCCGCCACCAGGUCCUCCGAUUAUUCGAUUACUCUCCGUAGCUUCCAGGUUCUUCCAAGCAUAUGGUGGCAUCAUGAGACCGAUGAUGGUAAUAUGUGGGUCCUUUUAAUUGCGGGCUCCAUUGGCUGCAGUAAUCACAGGAUUGCAUUGCUGAAGAUGUUAGUGUUAACAAAUUUUUGUCUGCUAUAUUUGGAAAUAAGUCAGCUCUUUGGAGUGUCAGCGGGAGGGUUAUGGACAGUGGUCCCAAUGAUCAAAUACUUAUAUUGUAUUCUGGUCAUCACCGUCCAGGAGUGCUAGGGUAAACAAAGAAACCAGGGGAAGCGACGUCUCCCGCCUGAAAAAAAAAAGGAAAAGAAAAAAGGAGUGAGGAAGAGUGAAGUAGAGAGCGUCGGUAUCAAUAUCCACAUUUUAGUGCAUACUACUGGUUAUUGGUGAUUCUUCUAGAGCCAUUUGUUUUUUUACACGACAGUGUUUCUUCACACCAAAUAUUUGCCCUUCUCAAGCAUGCCUCUGAACUUCUAAAAGCCUAGUCUUCUUCCGGAAUGUCUGAUAAUCUAUGCAAAAACAUCUCCAAAAGCAGAAGACAGCUGGGUAUUGUCUUGGGGUACAUUGUAGUCCUUCUCCCCCUGAAGAUGAAACCUAUAUGGGUGACCAGUACAGUGUUGCUUGGAUGGAAGACAGAGGUCAAAGAAAAGACUAUGAAUGGAAAUUCAGACUAUGGUUCCCACGCGUGCAGUAUGGUUCCCACUCUUCUUAUAUUUGAGUACAAAUCCUGCCAAUGAUACUUUCCUGGAGUAAAACUCACAGGGACCACCUUCAAAAACAGUCGACCAACGUGAUGAAGAUCUCAUCCAUUCCUGAGAUAAGUUCCACAAAGCUGUUGUGGGUUCUUGUAGGAAAAUUGCUGCUCAGAAACAAAUCCUGGAAGUAAGGUCUCGCAGAAACAUAAACUUUUCCAGAAGCUCUCGUUUAGCAUUGAAAGGGAUCCAGAACUGCUUAGAACUACGAUACCUGUUGGGCAACCACUUAUUGAUGACUGGGACUGCCUUAAAAACAUUUGUACCGUUUCCCUUGAUUCACUUUGUUUAGUUUGACUGUAUUAGACCCUUUCUAAUAUGCACCUUCUUAUUAGCCAUUGAUUUGGCCAAAAAGAGCAUCAACUAUAGAUGGUCCACCUACAAUAAUAAGUAAAAAAUCUAGGUGCACGGAUGAAUUUAAGAGUGUGCAUGCUAGAAUCCAUCUAUGAUUGAAUCAUUGCUUUUCUGUAUGUUAUUAAUUAUCCAGUUCACAUAGUUACGGUAUGAGAUGGCAGCAGGGCCUCCACCAUUGUAUCCCCUUCCAAUAAAUCAACAUUUUGUUUAUUGAUUGAACAAACAUUACCAUAUAAGGUUGUGCCACCAUGAAUGCUGAAGAUGAGAAAGAUCCACUGCAGUAAAACAAAAGAGAAAGUAGUACAAAACGAUGUGGAGAAGAGUGAAAGAGAAGAAACAAAGAUAAGUGAGAUGAGAUGAAAGGAGACGAGAAACGAAACUGAUAUUAUUGAUUCGUAAAAGUCUUAAAAAGUAAAAGAGGGAAAGUUACAUAUAUAUAUAUAUAUAUAUAUAUAUAUAUAUAUAUAUAUA